UUGAAGACCCCCCCCCCCCCCCACCAAGCUGCCCACCAGAGGCCAAGCUGUACUUGGUGUUUGCCAACAUGCUGUAAUUUCCAGCCUGGUUGCUGUAGCCACAGAGGAAUUUUCAAGGACAAGAACCAGUGCUGGUAAAACUGUGGUCUCUGUGGUUUUCCAUACCGGCUCUCGGCAAGGAUUUUCAAGAAAGGAAUACCAUCUCCAAAUCAUGAUGUGCCAAUAAGCUCCAGUUAGCUGCGGCCUUUUCCCCAGGCGGUAGUCCUGCAAUCUGAAUCCAGGAGAUGCAGCUCUGAAUCCAAUAUUUCAGAAGAAUGAAGAUGAAGCAGACCCAGGAGGAACUGUCUGUUGAAGACCCCCCCCCCCCCCACCAAGCUGCCCACCAGAGGCCAAGCUGUACUUGGUGUUUGCCAACAUGCUGUAAUUUCCAGCCUGGUUGCUGUAGCCACAGAGGAAUUUUCAAGGACAAGAACCAGUGCUGGUAAAACUGUGGUCUCUGUGGUUUUCCAUACCGGCUCUCGGCAAGGAUUUUCAAGAAAGGAAUACCAUCUCCAAAUCAUGAUGUGCCAAUAAGCUCCAGUUAGCUGCGGCCUUUUCCCCAGGCGGUAGUCCUGCAAUCUGAAUCCAGGAGAUGCAGCUCUGAAUCCAAUAUUUCAGAAGAAUGAAGAUGAAGCAGACCCAGGAGGAACUGUCUGUUGAAGACC